rnacentral:rRNA from 1 species
GACGAACGCUGGCGGCGUGCUUAACACAUGCAAGUCGAACGGUGAAGGGGUCUGCUUUUGUGGGCCCUGGAUGAGUGGCGAACGGGUGAGUAACACGUGAGUAACCUGCCCCCUUCUUCUGGAUAACCGCAUGAAAGUGUGGCUAAUACGGGAUAUUCUGGGUCUGUAGCAUGAUGGGUCUGGGAAAGAUUGCGCCUUUGGGUGUUUUUGGUGGGGGAUGGGCUCGCGGCCUAUCAGCUUGUUGGUGGGGUGAUGGCCUACCAAGGCGGUGACGGGUAGCCGGCCUGAGAGGGUGGACGGUCACACUGGGACUGAGACACGGCCCAGACUCCUACGGGAGGCAGCAGUGGGGAAUAUUGCACAAUGGGCGCAAGCCUGAUGCAGCGACGCCGCGUGAGGGAUGGAGGCCUUCGGGUUGUAAACCUCUUUCGCCAGUGAAGCAGGCCUGCUCCUUGUGGGUGGGUUGACGGUAGCUGGAUAAGAAGCGCCGGCUAACUACGUG